rnacentral:rRNA from 1 species
CACGCAGGUGGCUUGGCAAGUCGGAUGUGAAAGCCCGGGCUUAACCUGGGAACUGCAUUCGAUACUGCCAGGCCAGAGUAUGGGAGAGGAAAGUGGAAUUCCCGGUGUAGCGGUGAAAUGCGUAGAUAUCGGGAGGAACAUCAGUGGCGAAGGCGGCUUUCUGGCCCAAUACUGACACUCAUGUGCGAAAGCGUGGGGAGCAAACA